ACCGUUAAAACAGCAACUAAGCAUCACCAAAAGUACAUCUAUCAAUUUCACGAGGCGGACGAAAUCUCUGCCGUCGACCGAUCCACGUACACAUCGACCUUUGUUCGCCCGUCUAUCAUUGCACGAGAAAAGGAAGGAAAACCUCGCAUCCUCAGAUCCAUACACGCCUAAAUCUACUGCUCCGUCUCCUGUUACCAUCCCCGUUGCCUUCCCUGCCUCCGCCGCCUGCGCUUCUACAUCUUGCAGCGUCCCGAUCUACAUCACGACGCGGCAUCGCCAUGGGAGCAAGGGGGUCAGGGCAGCGCCGCUGCCGAGGGGCGUGAGGGAAUCAAGGCUGCGCUACGCGGACUCAUCCGAGCACUCAACCCCCCUGCUUUUGUGGAUUCUCCGCUCCGGAUGACCUGAUGGGUGGCUGAUGGCGUGAUGCUUAGAUGGAUUGAUGCGUAAGUUUGAAUCGUUUUCCUUUUCUCUUCUCUAAUGGGUGGCUGAUGGCCUGAUACUUUGAUGGAUUGAUGCGUGCUUGAAUUGGCUGAUAUGCGCCUCUGUGUAUGCAGAUUUUUCAAUUUAGUUUUUUUAGAGACUCGUUCGGCUUGUAAUAGCAGACGUAUGUUGGUAUGUAUUGAAAGCCUUUUCUAAUCCGUUCAUUGUAAUGCUUAAGCCUAAUACGAUAGUACUACUUGACCACUAAUUAAGCAUUUGCUUUGUCUAGCCUGGUGCAAAUUAAAUAAAUUGUACUGUCAUUCAUUAGUUUACUACUCAGUCCGGCCUGAACGUAGUAGUAAAGGUUGAUUCUGAGCAUAAUGCACACAAAACUGCCCUAUGUGUUCCUUCUCUAUCUUACAAUUCUGGCUAGAUAUAUUUGUCACUAACAUCUGGAAUAUUGUGUAUCCUCUUGCAUCAUUAUUGGAGUAGCUUUUAUAUUUCAUUGACGAGUGUAAGCCUGCUUAGUGAAGAUUAUGUAAAGGAUAGACUGUUCCCACAAGAUUAUUUUAAUAUCACAGUUAUAUCGCAUGCUUCAUUGUAAAAGAUCUUUUUUCACAUUUAUUUUUGUUACUGGCCGCUAGAAACAUGGGAUCUAUCAAGCAAGAAAAAGGUGGAGAUGAGGAGGUUGUCGAUGAAGAUGCUCCUGUAGAGUGAAGAGUAUGAAGCAGAAGAUGCGGCCCAGGUUUAAUGAGGCAAUGGAGAGGCCGAGGACGUGGGGGAAGAGGUUGUGGCUGGGGCCAGUACCAUGGCUAGAGUCCGGACAUUGGCCAUACAAUCAGCACUCCCCCCCCCCCCCAUCGAAUCACAUUGAUAAGCAUCCAGUGGUGUCAAAGCCGCCUCCUGGUCUGCUUAUGCCGGAUGACACAAAAGGAUUUUCCAUGGGGCGAGGGAAACUCCAGGUUAUCCAGGGUAAAUGACUAGAUUACGUUUCAGGAUUACAACUCGCAAAUGAGCUUGGAUGCCUUCAUCUUACAACCAGAGACUCUUGUUUUAUGAUCAUGCACACAUUGAAUGCAAAGUAAAGUUUUUUUACCAUCCACGUUAAGAAUCUUAUUAUGGAACCAUGACCAUUUUUUGCAAUAUAUGACUGAGCAUUAAUGGUACAAACUUCUUUGCUCAAGUAAUUCAAGGUAUGUUUCAUUGCUCAUUUAGGGUGGCCACUGAACCUCUUUAUGAACCAAGGAAGACACAUUCUCUAUGCACAAAGAACUUAGUGCUACUAUUUGUUUGUGCUAUUUCAAUUGAAAACGUUGACGCUCCAUGACAUGCCACAAUUCAAUCUUUUGUGCUUGUAUUGGUUCAUAUGUACAUGUCGUGUGCACGACUAACAAUUUGAAUAAACAAUUAUUUAUAUUAUUUCAUGA